CCUACGGGCGGCAGCAGUGAGGAAUAUUGGUCAAUGGGCGCGAGCCUGAACCAGCCAAGUAGCGUGAAGGAUGACUGCCCUACGGGUUGUAAACUUCUUUUAUAAAGGAAUAAAGUGAGGCACGUGUGCCUUUUUGUAUGUACUUUAUGAAUAAGGCUCGGCUAAAUCCGUGCCAGCAGCCGCGGUAAUACGGAGGAUCCGAGCGUUAUCCGGAUUUAUUGGGUUUAAAGGGAGCGUAGAUGGGUUGUUAAGUCAGUUGUGAAAGUUUGCGGCUCAACCGUAAAAUUGCAAUUGAUACUGGCAGCCUUGAGUACAGUUGAGGUAGGCGGAAUUCGUGGUGUAGCGGUGAAAUGCUUAGAUAUCACGAAGAACUCCGAUUGCGAAGGCAGCCUACUAGACUGCCACUGACAUUGAUGCUCGAAAGUGUGGGGAUCAAACAGGAUUAGAUACCCCUGUAGUC
rnacentral:rRNA from 1 species